AUAUUUACCUGGCAGGGGAUAUGCCAAGAUCAUGAAAGUGGUUUUCCCAGGGCGAGGCUCAUCCAUUGCACUCUAGAUGUGCUGACCCCUGCAAUUCCCCCAAAUGUUAGAAACUCGACUGCAUAAUUUGCGGUAGUGGAGGUCUACAUUUGUGCUUUCCCCUG
ensembl:snRNA U1 U1 spliceosomal RNA